GCCAUCGACUCACUCGUUCCCAUAUGUGUGAUCUCCCACCGGCGCCAGCCCUGUCUGUAUGCCAGGGAAGUAGUUUUGGAGGGAGAGGAGUUUAUUCAGGGUCUCAUGAAAGAAAAGGGCGCACUAUUUUACAAGAGCCCUACAACUUAGGAGUCAUGUCCUUCCCUCGGCCGCCGCGGGUCGCGGAGGGAUCUCUCAGACACGCCUCGCUUCCGGUGUUAGCUGAAAGGGCGGGGAGAGAAGUUUUUCUUGCCAGGGAAGCUUUUUUUAGAAGACCGAGCCGCCUGGUUAUCUCGCGAGAUGCUGAUGGGAAGCGCGCGUCGAGCCGAUUGGCCCAUGCGUGGUGAAUCAUGUCUAUUUUGAGUUCCUAUUGGCUCCAGGCCUGAGGUGGGCGGGCUGUUCAGCGAGCCCAAGAUCCGGGUGGGUAGGAUCCCCUCGCAGGGCGGUCACCUCUGUUCUUGUUUGAGACCCUGCGGCUUCAGUGGCUCCCUCAGCCCGGCCCCUUGCCGAGCGGCCACAAACGGGCAGGCUUCCGCUAGCAGGCAGCUUUACCCAGCACGCCUCAAAUAGUGGCAGCCGGGCCUGGCUGGGGGUCCUUCCUACUCGGAAUUAGCCAAAUGACAGCCCAAGUCCCCCCUCCCACCCACCAGGGCGCUCUCUCCCUUCCGGACCGGUUGGGCUGCUUCCGACCCGGAAAGGUCCCUGAAAGUCACCUGGCCCAAGACUUUAUUUUCCAGUGGAGCCGACAGCGAGCGGCUGGCCCGGCCCCCCCAGGUAGGCUCGAGGACCGCAGCGGAAAUCAGGGACUGGGACGGCGCUCCUGGUGGGGCCUCAUUGGGCGGUCACCCGAGCCCUGCGUCCCUUCUCUGAGCCCGAGGUCCGGAAGGAUGCGUGUUGUCUCCCUAUUCUAUGUUCACGUUGCCCAUUCGAAAAUAAAAGUAUGAGGACUUUGGUUCGUGCAGACUCGAUUCCCCCAAGAGCAGGUUUCAUGCGACUGGUGUAGCCCUGGGGUAGUUCUGAUUAACUGCCAGGCACGGACAGCUUCCCUACAAGCCCUCCCAAUGGCCUUGUGAAGCGAAGCCUGCUCAGGGUCGUUUGGCUGGGGGCGGGGGGUUUAGAAACUGUGGUCUUAGUGGGCAGGCCCCCCACCACCACCCGCGGGAGGCCGGGGUGCCAAGAAACCUCCCUCCACAGUCCGUUCCCGUGAAGGUAGAAACCUUCCCCUCCACUUGCGUCUGCCAUACAAAUAUCAUUUCUACAAAUGCUGGCUUUGUCAUUUAUUAGCUGGGACAUUUGACAAAGUGACAUACUUGUUUUCUCAUCGAUUGAGCAUCCUCGUCCUAGGAAUGGAGUGAGACCAUAUACAUAAAGCACUUAGCACGCUGCCUCCUACAUAGUGGCCGAUAAAUGGUUGCUAUUGUUACUAUUAUUAGAACUCAGGUUUCAGGCCCCGACCUCCCAAUCCCAUGCCAUCACCUACUUCUGCAGAGGACUCCUGUUUAUAGUUACAUGAAACCGACACUAGAACGCGAUCCAAGGCAUCCUGGAUGCUGGAUGGUGCCAACAGGAUCUCCAGAGGGAAGAGGAAAAGCAGGUGCUGUUCCUUCAAGGCAAAAGUGGGAGACGCUGAACAGAGAGGCAGAGUAAUGGAGACAGCUACUUCAUCUUUCCCCAAAGAGUUUUUAAAAAGGCAGAAUUUUGUCGUCUUCCAUCCAAGCAGCCCAGAGCACUUGGUCAUCAUCCACAUUUUAUUGUGAGGAAAAUGGCAGCAAGAGGACAGCCAGCCCAGUCAGCGGACCCAAGGACCAAGGCUUCUGAGGACUUGUAAGAGGCUCAAUUCUAAAAUGAAGUUAUGGUUUUGUGAAGAAUAAUUAAGUCAGAGUUGCCCUGAAAAACAGGAAAUAAACUCAUUUCCUCACCUAAA